GAAAAGUUUUGCAUUAAGCAAUAAUCAGACAAGACUCAACAUCAGCAAGGAAAAGAUCAGUGAGCUAAACAAUCCCAUUGGAUCUGCAUAGACUGCAUGGGUUGUUGUGCUGUUGCUUUGUACUGAAGAUUACAGCAACUUAGUUCCAUUCAGGC
rnacentral:lncRNA from 1 species